rnacentral:rRNA from 1 species
UACCAGCUCUCCGAGUGGUAGGGAUGAUUAUUGGGCUUAAAGCGUCCGUAGCCGGCUUAGCAAGUCUCCUGUUAAAUCCACCGAUUUAAUCGUUGGUGUGCGGGGGAUACUGUUCGGCUAGGGGACGGGAGAGGCCGACGGUAUCUCCGGGGUAGGGGUGAAAUCCUAUAAUCCCGGGAAGACCACCAGUGGCGAAGGCUGUCGGCUAGAACGCGCCCGACGGUGAGGGAUGAAAGCUGGGGGAGCGAACCGGAUUAGAUACCCGGGUAGUCCCAGCUGUAAACGAUGCAGGCUAGGUGUUUGGGCGGCCACGUGCCGCUCUAGUGCCGCAAGGAAGCUGUUAAGCCCGCCGCCUGGGGAGUACGGCCGCAAGGCUGAAACUUAAAGGAAUUGGCGGGGGAGCACCACAAGGGGUGAAGCUUGCGGUUU